GCUUCCUCCAGCACAACCACACAGAGUCUGUAACCAGACCUGGCAGACUCACACUGGUUGAUUUUAGUUCUCUUGUAUAGUAUAUUAAUCUGAAUUUGUGCAUUAAGGUGAUCAAACAACACAACCUUGACUGUAAACGGGGAAGAUGUCAUGCAGGAAUCAAACAUGAGUUGGAAUGUGAUGUCUGGACUGUCCUACCUCAUUGGGUCUGAGGUUUUGGGCGAGGACGUUCAGAUGGUCUGCACCGCAGAAUCCAUCAGGGCCAGGUCUGAUGGGUGGCAGGACUAGUGAAACACAAAGACA